GUUGAUUGAAUGAUUAUAUAAUAUUUGUUUGCCUUUUGUUUUCAGUUGAAUAUAUUGUGAAAAAAAAAUAUGGCUGAAGGAAGGGACAGUCAGCCACCAGCCGCCGCCGACUGAACAGUGAGCUAGGUCCUGCAUUGCUAGUUGAUGUUCCGAGAGACAAGAACUUAACUGGAAAUUAUUCUUGUAGAAGGGCUGAAGCUGGAUGAUAUAGAAGCUGGCAUAUACACCGUACACUGUCUGCCCUUAAGGUUGCUUGGUGCGGAGGGAUCGCCUAUUAGAUGUAUACUGAUUAAGUAAUACUGUCCUCGUCUCCGCCUCAACCAUAAGGAAGCACUGGAGAUAGCAUUGAAUAAGAAAAAGUGCUGCAAGGGAGGACAUAUUGUCAGAGUAGUUUAGGCUGUAAUAUUAUUAGCUUUUAGGCUGAAAACACAUAGCAUGAGCAAAUAAUAUGUAGAUUUCAUGGUAUGUCUUAUGGUUUUAUGGAUUGACGGAGAAUGAUCAACAUAUUUAGAUCAGAGUUAUUUUUGUCUUAAGGUGCAAAUGAUUACGGUCAUCAUAUUGCUUUCUA